GCUGUGUGCUAAUUGGUUACAAGAAAAGGCAGCUUCUGUUGGUAAACUUUUGUAGCAAAUUAUUGGCCUGAGAUGAGGAAGAAGAAACAUUUACCCACACCAGUUACUACUGAAAGCUCCAUCGCCACUUCCUGUGAAACCAGGACCAAAGUCCAGGCUGCAACUUUACCUUGGCGGCACUUCAGCACCUGUGGGAGAACUGCUGUGAGGAGGAAGAGCAUUUGGCUUCAGAUUUGUCUGACUGAACAGAAACAGGAAUGAACAGGGUUGGGCGAGGUGAUAGACCCCAGCUGACCCACUUAGCAGAGAGACAACAUCCUCCGUGAAGGAGAGGAACGAAGCUGCUGGAGGCUGAAAGGACAAGAGGGAGCUGGUCAGCGGAACCUUCAUGAGUCACUGCCUCUGCACCAUUCAAGCACCUUCUGAGACCCAGCCCUUUGUACUUCCAGACAUGUUUCCCACUCGGCAUCCUGAUGCCACCUCCAGCCCAGUGGGAGCACCAGCACAUGCUUCUCCAAGGAAUCUCUUCAGAAGGCAGGAGUGUCAUUCCCAUCCCACAGUCAAGCCAAUUGCAGAUUUGUAUUAAGAUCCGAGGAUUAGCUCUCCAUCAAGUUGCCAUGGCUUCCAGACUACAUCCAGGACAAUACACUCUACCUAUGCCUUCCUCAUUCUAGAGCAGUCAUUGUCCUUAGUGCUACCAGAUAGCAGCUGUGUAAUAAAAUCACCUUUAUGUUUUGGCUGAGGAUCCCAAAUUUCUUCCUCAAGAUAAAAAACAUGGAGA